rnacentral:rRNA from 1 species
UACGGAGGGGGCUAGCGUUGUUCGGAAUUACUGGGCGUAAAGCGCACGUAGGCGGCUUUGCAAGUUAGAGGUGAAAGCCCGGGGCUCAACUCCGGAAUUGCCUUUAAAACUGCAUCGCUAGAAUUGUGGAGAGGUAAGUGGAAUUCCGAGUGUAGAGGUGAAAUUCGUAGAUAUUGGGAAGAACACCGGUGGCGAAGGCGGCGACCUGGUCCUUUACUGACGCUGAGGCGCGAAAGCGUGGGGAGCAAACAGG